AAACUAAUGCUAUAAUAAUUCUUACAAGCAAUGUUUAUGGUGGUGGCUAGCCUUCUUUUUACUAAGCGAGGUGAUGCCUAUGUGUUAUAUUUUUGUUAGGCUCUCUUAGAAUGGAUAGAUAAUGACCGUUUAUGAAGCACUGUCUUUUGCACUAUUAUUAAACAGUCAAAAUAACCA
rnacentral:sRNA from 1 species